CUGGUCCUGCCAGCUUCACAGGUUGCUGUACAUAGAGGAAUGGUUGGUUGAAAGUGCCCUGCAUAACGCAAGCUCUUUAGGACUCGCAAACAGCCUUAAUCGCAGUAAGGGGGCACAUCAGGGCUGUGAGAAGGCCCCCUUGAGGGCUCGGCACAGGUGAUUCUGGGCUCUCUGUGCUUGCCAGCCUCCUAAAGUAGGUGCCCACUUUCAGAAGCUCUGCACGCCCCACCUGGGCGCCUCUGCUGGAGGUCUGCCUGGCCCGGGGCACCCGUGUGCGCGCGAGGAUUUCUUUUGCAGAGAAUGAAACCACCGUUCCUUUCCGUCCGUGGUCUACUCCGGGGUCCCCAUCCCACGCCAUAUUCUGCUGAUGGAGAAAUGGGAUCUCACCCAAGGAAAGUGACUUGCCAGGGUUACACCACUGGCCACGUCCUGAAGUCCAGGCUGAAAGCAUGACCUUUCUUUCUCCCUACCUCCUCAGCCACGCUUCCCUAGGCGGGUCAGAGUGCAAGAGCGUUUAUGCUUUUUGGCAGUUCUUUCCUCUUCAUUCCCCCAUCUCUCCAAUUACACAUUCAUAUACACAUAAACACUCCGAUACCCUCAAACUACCAGAAGCCACGUCAGAGACUUGAGAACUUUGGACCAGGAACUGAUGGAGACAAAGAUGACCUAGGAAGAUGGCUACAUUGGGAAUGGAGGCAGAGAUUGGAGUUAUGUGGCCACAAGGGAAGGAACUCCUGGGGCUCCCAGAAGCUGGAAGAAACAAGGAUCCUUCCCCUAUAGGCUUUGGAGGGAGCGUGGCUCUGCAACACCUUGGUUUUGGACUUCUAGCUCCAGAAGUGUAAGAGAAUAAAUUUCUGUGAUCUCAUAUUCAGUUCAUGGUGCUAUAUCAUGGUAGCCCUAGAAACUAAGAUACACAGGUAUGUUGGAUGUAUGGGUCAGGCCCACACCCAGGGUGCAUACGGCCUUUGGUUAAAAAAAAACUCUCAUUUCUGUGGGGAAUCCAUUGCCAGUGGUCUGGAUGACAUGGCCACUGCCUCUCUUCAGGGAUGUGCACAAGACCCUGGCCUGGCCAAUCAGAAUACCUCAUGCCCAGGACCACAGUAACUGGGUCAGGGGUUGUCAAGAUUUAUAUAAAUGAUUUACAUAAAAUGUUUAAAUGUUUUGUUAAAAUAUUUAAAAUAAAAAAUGUUUCUAAGAUUUCAGUUGCCAAUUGUUUUUUGUGAGUAUAUACAAAUACAACUGAUUUUUACAUAUUGGUUUUGUAUCCUGUAUACUUGCUAAAUUCAUGCAUUAGUUGUAUUUUUCUAGAUUUCUUAGAAUUUUCUAUGUACACAAAUCACAAUGUCUGUGAAUAUACACGACAUUACUUCUUCGUUUCCAAAACUUAUGCUUUUCACUUCUUGUUCUUGCCUUGUUGCACUGGGUAGAACCUCAGUUGUAUAUUAAAUAUAUUUUUUAAAAAGGUAGACAUUUGAGCCUUGUUUCCAAUCUUGGGAAGACACUAUUCAGUCUUUUGCCCUUGUCUGCUUCUAAGCUGCCAAAGCCUGUGCUGUGGUGGGGAAAUGUCACUCUGUGGGCCAGCCAUGGUGUGAGUGUGCAGAUGGGACAGCAGCAGCAGGUGCAUUCUCCUGGGAGGCCAGGCCUGGUGGCAGGCAUCUGUAAUCCCUGCUAUUUGGGAGGCUGAAGCUGGAGGGUGGCUUGAGCCUGGGAGUUCGAGUCCAGCCUGAGCCACACAGCGAGACACUGUCUCUUAAAACAAAAAAUAAAAAACAAAACCAACAACCCCCACGCCUGCCUGCCAAAUUUUCCUGGGGAAGGCAAGACACACAAUUAAGAAAGUAAACAUUAUGUCAUCCUUGUCUGUAUCUCAGUAGCCAUAGUUGUGGAUUCCUUCAGUUCUCUCUUGGUAGAAGGUGGGGCCUGAAUAAAUGACGACAUAAAGCCAGCUGAACUUAGUGAGCAGAGCCUCCCAGAUGCUGCAAACUCAAGGAGGCCUCUGUGCUCAGAUCUUUAUUUUCUCUCUCUCUCUCUCUCUGUCUCUGGCACAGCGUUUAUGCUUUUUGGCAGUUCUUUCCUCUUCAAUCCCCCAUCUCUUCAAUUACACAUUCAUGUACACAUCAACACUCCGAUACCCUCAAACUACCAGAAGCCACAUCAGAGACUUGAGAGCUUUGGACCAGGAACUGAUGGAGACAAAGACGACCUAGGAAUGGUUGCUUGCCCUACCCUCAGGAGUUUACAAUUACUGAUAGAGACAGAAGUCUUUGCAGGAGGUGGGGGGCGGGGGGUAGGAGAAACUUUACAAACACACCUGUCAGCAUACACAGGGAUAAUAAUAGGAAAGGGGGUUUUCAUACAAGGGAAGCAUCUGGAAACUGGGAGGG
rnacentral:lncRNA from 10 species